rnacentral:tRNA from 1 species
GGAAGAUUAGCCUAAUUGGUAAGGCAGUGGUUUUGAAAACCAUCGCGCAGCAAGUCGCUUGCGGGUUCGAAUCCUGCAUCUUCCGCCA